rnacentral:rRNA from 1 species
AUGGCUCCCCACGCUCCGACGAAGACAGCGGCCGCCUCGGCCUCUCUGGCACCUCCUGCCGCCGUCGGCCACGCUCCGACGACGGAGGCCGCCCCGGCCUCGCUGGAUCCUCCAGCCGCUGGGAUGCCUUGUGCUGCCGGCGCCGUCCCCGCCCCCGCCCGUCUGCCGCAGCCAUCUUCGCAUGGCCUGGCCGCGUCCUCCCUCGCCUCCCGCAAGGCCGACCUGACCGUGCGAGGACGGAUGGGCUCGCCCCUGCUGCCGUCCACGCGGAGGUCACCAACGCCUACCACGCCACCCGCUGUUGCGGUUGGAGGCGACGGUCACGUCUCCGACAUGCGGGCUGGGAGGCUGUCGGCUGUUUCAAGCUCUUCUGACAGUUUGGGCAUGGUGCGGCCUUCGUGGAGCUCCCUCGACGAGGAUGCCGAUGACCACGACGAAGAUGGCGUUGAGCUUGCCCCGCAGACGCCACGGGCUCCCAAGUGCUCUAGCAAGGUGAGUGCGCUGCCGAACCGGGCUGCUCCGACUACUCCAGCCUCAUCCGCUGCUGCUCUGGCUGCCGUUGCCCUCGCCUCCCGGAAGGCCUACCCGGCCAUUGGUGGCUGUAGGACUUGCGCUCAUCGCCUCCCAUGGCCUGUGGCAGUGACCAAUCAGGCAUCCCUGCCCGCCAUUCCUGACGAGAUGACGCGAGAAGUUGGAGUCUCCUCUGUUUGUUCCAUCUUCAGUGUCUGCUUGCAAGGGCCUCUCUGCCGCCGCUGCCACUCUUGA